GGAGCCAUAACUUCACUGUCAAUCAUGUUCGGGAACCGACAGUUGGAGCUCAGUCAUUAAAUUCAGCAUAACAUGCUGAUGGUAAUUUAACAAAAAGGGCUUUUGCACCGUCCUCCGUGGAAAUUAUUUCACGCGCCUAAUUUUUCUCUGUUUCCCCAGACCUACAGAAGGGCUCUUUAUGUCCCUCUGUCCAGUGGUGGUUGCAAGCGAGGCCUGCACCGUAAUUGCCAUCACCAUAGUCUGAAGACCUACAGCAGGGCUCUGCCUGGCUCUGCGUCCCUCUGUCCAGUGGUGGUCACAAGUGAGGCCUGCACCGUAAUUGCCAUCACCAUAGUCAGAAGACCUACAGCAGGGCUCUGCCUGGCUCUGCGUCCCUCUGUCCAGUGGUGGUCGCAAGUGAGGCCUCCACCGUGAUUGC